UAGUCCUAGCCGUAAACGAUGGGUACUAAGUGUCAGCCGAUCGACCCGGUUGGUGCUGUAGCUAACGCGUUAAGUACCCCGCCUGGGGAGUACGACCGCAAGGUUGAAACUCAAAGGAAUUGACGGGGGCCCGCACAAGCGGUGGAGCAUGUGGUUUAAUUCGACGCAACGCGAAGAACCUUACCCAGGUUUGACAUCCUAGGGACAGUCCCAGAGAUGGGAUCUUCCUUCGGGACUCUAGGACAGGUGCUGCAUGGCUGUCGUCAGCUCGUGUCGUGAGAUGUUGGGUUAAGUCCCGUAACGAGCGCAACCCUUGUCCUUAGUUGCCAGCACUUCGGGUGGGAACUCUAAGGAGACUGCCGGUGACAAACCGGAGGAAGGUGGGGACGAUGUCAAGUCAUCAUGGCCCUUACGGCCUGGGCUACACACGUGCUACAAUGGAACGCACAGAGGGCAGCAAACCCGCGAGGGGGAGCGAAUCCCACAAAACGUUUCGUAGUCCGGAUUGGAGUCUGCAACUCGACUCCA
rnacentral:rRNA from 1 species